AAAAUUCUUCUACCGACGGCCUCCGGGCUGUCUGGAGAAAACCUUUUGUGAAACGUUCCGUCUCUGGUAGGGGGGGUCGCGUAUUAUCGCUGCCUGUCAGUAUGUAGUUUUUCUAGCUGCAUACCGUGGACAUCCCUGCCAACCAUUUUUAUAAACUUUUUUUCCCUGUCCUGACGUCUGACAAUUUACCAGUAAUUAAAUACUAAAAA
rnacentral:misc_RNA from 2 species